AUUCUUACCUGGCAGGGGAGAUACCAUGAUCACAAAGGUGAUUUUCCCAUGGCUAGGUUUAUCCUUUGACCUCUGGGUGUGCUGAGUCCCUGAGAUUGCCCCAAAUGUGGGAAACUCAACUGUAUAAUUUGUGGUAGUAGGGAACUGUGUUCACAGCUUUCCC